UAACAGGAUACAAGCUUAAGGGGACUAGCCCGUAUGGCGUCAUUACCGGAAGUUGUUUUGAUGAAGAGCUAUAUCUCGCUUCAGACCCAGGCUGUAGACCAGACAUCAACUUAGACAUGCUGUUUCCCAUCUCUGAGUACGCCACGAAAUUCAUUAUUACCAAGCCUGUGAAAUUCGAGGGGCACCUGAAGAUCGUUGUCGCCAAGGCGAAAACUCAAGUCUCAAUCGACGGUCUAACGAUCAGCAAGAACUUCACUUCCCAGCGCGAUCUAGAGUUGAUAAGUUUUGAGAAGGAGAAAAUGGUGGGACCACAUUUCAUUAUGUCGACAGGAGCGAUAACUGUUGCGUUCUUCGUCAUCACAACUUGCAAGUCUAACAGUUACGUAGAGAUUGCGUCCACCAUCUUUGUACCUACUGGACUGUACAUGGACAACUAUUA
rnacentral:sRNA from 1 species